CAGAUUUUAAGUUUUGGAUUUAUGGGGCUUUAUUCAUAAAAAAGGGGGGAUUUUCAACACUUCGGACAAUAACUCAAAAAGGCUUUCACCAAUGUCCAUGAAACUUUGGUGAAUUGUUUAUAUCUAUUGAUGUAAGCUUCCUUUCAAUUUUUAUAAAUUUCAGAUUUUAAGUUUUGGAUUUAUGGGGCUUUAUUCAUAAAAAAAAAGGGGGAUUUUCAACACUUCGGACAAUAACUCAAAAAGGCUUUCACCAAUGUCCAUGAAACUUUGGUGAAUUGUUUAUAUCUAUUGAUGUAAGCUCCCUUUCAAUUUUUAUAAAUUUCAGAUUUUAAGUUUUGGAUUAAUGGGGCUUUAUUCAUAAAAAAGGGGGAUUUUCAACACUUUGGACAAUAACUCAAAAAGGCUUUCACCAAUGUCCAUGAAACGUUGGUGAAUUGUUUAUAUCUAUUGAUGUAAGCUCCCUUUCAAUUUUUAUAAAUUUCAGAUUUUACAUUUCCGUGUUAUGAAUUUUUAUGCUUAAAAAAGGGGGGAUUUUCCAAUUUUGGGACAAUAACUAACACUUUCACAAAAUUUUAUGCAAC
rnacentral:lncRNA from 1 species